ensembl:lncRNA
ACAACUAAUAAGCACGCUUUUCGCUUUGCUUUUUAUUGUCGUUUUGAAACAGCAACUCGACAAUGGCGUACUACUUCUGUUGCGUCACUUGAGAAGGAGAAGAGAGAUAGAAUACCGGAGAAGGGAGGCAGAAGACCAAGCUGUAGAAGGAUUGGAGAACAUGGUCAAACGUUGUGCUGCGUUUGAAGAACCGCCACCACCACCUGACUGAAGCGUAAGUGAAAUAUCUGGCGACCAACACCUUAGUGGCAAGAUGGGCUGCACAGUGUGGGAGUGGAAAAUACUCUUCCCGUCCCUCAGUGAUGGGAACCACCUGGCUGCAAGCAUCCACCUGCACAGGUACAGGCCCACCCAGUUAGAGGCCGCCUACACCCACGGUGUGUUCAGCAGUGGCAGGUAAGAAGAACAAACUUAUCUAUGUGUGUGUGUGAGUGAAAGUAUGUGUGUGUGUUUCUGCCCUAAUAGAUUAUCGAUGCACUGCUGGCUUGGUUGGCUACAGC